rnacentral:lncRNA from 1 species
GUGAUUGUAACCUGUUGACUCUUAGAGUCUUUCACUGAUAAAGGUUAUCUAUAAGUCUGAUACUUUGUCAUAAGUCUCUCCAGCUUUAGCUGUAAAUAGAUGAGACAAUUUCAAGAACAAAUCUCACUAAGAAAUUAAAACUGUAGCUGAGCACUUAUAGAUUUUACCAUAGUUUUUUUCUUGAUGAUCUAUACCCAUGGUCACCUUCUGGAAGAGCUGGAAAUUAACAGAAGAGGCAUAUUGAAGGGAAUCACAGUGCACACAAGCCAUGGCCCUGAUUCCAGUUCCCAUUCUUCCCACGUGACUCACCUCUGCUUCUACUGGAAUCACCCAGAUUACAGCAGUGCAUGACCACUGUGGUUGUUUCCAGACCUGAUGAUGAUUUUAAAAAAGAAGCCAACAAAAAUUAUGGAAAAGCCGUGUUUCAAAGAAAGACAGUUCUUUGGAAAGAU